rnacentral:lncRNA from 1 species
GUCUUUUUCUGAAGUUCCUUCUAGAUUACUGUCAAAUAGGUUCUUCUGCCGCUUCAUUGGUUGAUCGGCAUACGAGGGUGUCAGCACUAAGAAAGCAAAUCGGACAAUAAAGAUCAGUACUAAGUUAGAAGGAAACUAAGCAUCAGGCCCUAAGCCAAAAAAAAUGGGAUAGUACCGUCAGUGUCAUCACUGAAUCGGGUACAUCUGGGUUGGUGGAAACUAGGUCCGCGUGUCAAAGAAGAUCUCCGUUAUUGAGUCCCUUCUAAGCAGGCUCAGGAUAUGGGCAGCGCAUAUGACAGACGAUCAGGGAAUUUUCUUCUUAAUAGAGUACCAGACUUCUCACACGGCUAUAUGACCAAAGAUCAGGUCUCCG